AGUCGUAACAAGGUAUCCGUAGGUGAACCUGCGGAUGGAUCAUUACCAAAGGCUUAGACCGCAAGUACUGUGAACUGUUUGAAUACCCGUCAGGGGAGCCAGCUGUGCCUUAACACGCGCAGACGGCGGUUGCUGACCUUGCUGGGUGCCUGCACUUAGCCGGGGAGGUCCCCUGGUCGGACUUUAUGAGUAAAGCCCUGCCAAACUUAAGCUGUUCUAGUGAAAACUAAACAACUUUUAGCAACGGAUCUCUAGGCUCUC
rnacentral:misc_RNA from 1 species